GACGAACGCUGGCGGCGUGCUUAACACAUGCAAGUCGAACGGUGAAGCGCCUUCCUUUUUGGUGGGUGUGGAUGAGUGGCGAACGGGUGAGUAACACGUGAGUAACCUGCCCCCUUCUUCUGGAUAACCGCAUGAAAGUGUGGCUAAUACGGGAUAUUCUGGGUCUGUCGCAUGAUGGGUCUGGGAAAGAUAUUGUUUCGGUGGGGGAUGGGCUCGCGGCCUAUCAGCUUGUUGGUGGGGUGAUGGCCUACCAAGGCGGUGACGGGUAGCCGGCCUGAGAGGGUAGACGGUCACCAUGGGGCUGAGACACGGCCCAGACUCCUACGGGAGGCAGCAGUGGGGAAUAUUGCACAAUGGGCGCAAGCCUGAUGCAGCGACGCCGCGUGAGGGAUGGAGGCCUUCGGGUUGUGAACCUCUUUCGCCAGUGAAGCAGGCCUGCCUCGUUUGUGGGUGGGUUGACGGUAGCUGGAUAAGAAGCGCCGGCUAACUACGUG
rnacentral:rRNA from 1 species